UGAGGAUUCAAGACGCCUGCCUCCUCCGGUAUUGACAUAAGAGUGCAAGCAAGUAUAAAGGCUGUAGUCACUGUCUAGUGGGGUCACUCCCUCCUAAACCUAGAUCAAGAGCAAGACCCAGAUGAUGGCAGCCUUACAAGUUUUUGAGGAGCUUGAUGUCCUCGAGGAUGCUGCAGGGGAAAGGGUCAGACUGCCGAGAAGGAUUGUGAAGGAUCGCUUGGAUUUAUUCCUGACUUUGACUGAAGAGGAAUUUACAUCCAGGUUCAGGAUAUCAAAGCAAAGCGCAAGGGCCUUACUUGCUGACUUACAUUUACCAGAGGCAGCUGAUGCAAG